GUGUAAUAGCUUUAUUUCAAACAGAAACUUGGAAACGAUAUUUGAUUGUCUCAUAACAUAAAGUAAUUUCUAUCUCCUGAGGGGUCAGUCGAAGAUAUUUGUUGGAAAAUAAGAUCAAAUUACAAGUCAUCACAAUAUACACAUCAUCAUGAUUAUGGAAACAAAAUCCGGCACAUUGUAAAUUUUAUACAAGGAGGCAGAUGUGAUCUGUACAGCUUGUGUCUGGUCAACAGAAAGUAGUCGGGAUGGUACCAAGAAGGUAGUCGGGAUGGUACCAAGAAGGUAGUCGAGAUGGUACCAAGAAGGUAGUCGGGAUGGUACCAAGAAGGUAGUCGGGAUGGUACCAAGAAAGUAGUCGGGAUGGUAC